GGAAAAGGCAAUUGAUGGCGUUAAUGCACUGGUUGGUGUUUGUCUCUGAGUUUCUUGCUCAUGGUGGGCUCUACCUCUCUCUCUUUCUCAUUCAAAGAGAGUGACUGUGUGUGUGAGUGAGGACAGCUAGCUAUUACUCUAUACUGCUUUCUAGUCCCCACACACUUUGAAGCUCAUUCAUGGCUUCUAUAUACCAUUGUCUCUUUCUCUUUUCCUUUGAUUAUUAUUAUUACUCACAUACCAGCCAACAACUUCUUCAAUUCCCAGCCUGAUUCUUGUUAACCACUCUUUCUCUUUUGCUUUCUUUCUUGCUUUUUUUUUCAUUUUUUGUUUUGUUUUUGGCUCUACUGUGUUUGAUACAAGUGUCAGGCAUGAAAGGGAGGGUUUUUUUCAAGCUCGGUCUCAAUAUCAUUCUUCUGGAAGUGUUCCUAUUAGCUCUCUGUUUUCAUGAAUCUUGCUGCAGCCAGUUAGAUCAUCUUACGGGUCCUGUUUUGAUGGAAAAAAGAAGGGAUGCUUUUUUGCCCGAGAUCUCUCCUAGUGGGUCUCCUCAGCCGUUUAUUCCUAUGCUUGCACCUUCACCAUUGAUACCCUUCACAAAUACUACCACUCCAAAAUUAUCAGGACUCUGUAUGUUAAACUUCACUGCUGCGAAAAGCUUGCUGAGUACAACAUCAGUAGAUUGCUGGUCCGCUUUUGCACCGUUUCUGGCUAAUGUCAUUUGUUGUCCGCAGUUGGAAGCCACUCUUGCAAUUAUCAUUGGUCAAUCGAGUAAAGAAACCAAUGUCCUUGCUUUAAAUGGGACCCUUGCCAAAUUUUGCCUCUCAGACAUUGAGCAGAUUUUGGUUGGUCAGGGUGCUAAUUUUAAUGUGACACAGAUAUGUUCAACUCAUGCCUCAAAUCUCACUCAAAACUCUUGCCCGGUCAUUGAUGUUAAUGAGUUUGAGAACACUGUAGAUACUUCUAAGCUUCUGGCAGCUUGUGCUGAGAUUGAUUCUGUGAAAGAAUGCUGUAACCAAAUUUGUCAGGGUGCAAUAUUAGAAGCUGCUACGAGGAUUGCAUUGAAAGCUUCUGAGCUAUUGAGCGUUGAUGGGCCCCAUGUUUUACCUGAGCACUCAACUACUAUAAAUGAUUGUAGAAGUAUCGUCCACAGAUGGCUGGCAAGUAAACUUGAUCCUCCUCUUGCGAAGCAUGUUCUCAGAGUACUAUCAAAUUGCAAUGUUAAUAAAGUUUGCCCCCUGAAUUUCCCUGACAUGAAGCAUGUCGCAAAGGGCUGUGGGCAUGGGAUAAGUAACCAGACGGCAUGCUGUAGUGCCAUGGGAAGCUAUGUCUCCCACUUGCAAAAGCAGAGUUUUAUAACCAACUUGCAAGCUUUGGAUUGUGCUGCAUCAUUGGGAACAAAGUUAAGGAAGUCAAAUAUUACAAAAGAUGUAUAUGGCCUCUGUCAUAUAAGCCUCAAGGAUUUCUCCCUUCAAGUUGGAACUCAAGAGGCUGGAUGUCUUUUGCCUAGCUUGCCUUCUGAUGCAACAUUAGACCCGACUUCAGGAAUAAGCUUCCUUUGUGAUUUAAAUGACAACAUUGCAGCUCCAUGGCCCACUACAUCUCAAGUGCAAGCUUCUUCAUGCAAUAAAACUAUUAAAAUUCCUGCACUUCCAGCAGCCACAUCUGCCCAAAGUGGUACAGCUGGUGGAGUCUGCCCGUCACUUGCAUGGUGAUGGCGUCCCUGCAUGGGAACCAUGGAUGGGGUCCACCAUCACGUGAGUGGAGGCCAGACGCCAUUCAUUGUAUAUCUUCAAGAAUGGGAGCUGUCUUAAUUGAGGACUUUAUAAUGACGAUGUCAUGCUUUUUCUGCUCAUUGCUUCCUUAAUGGUCCCUCUAAUGCUAUUGUAAUCUUAAGAAGCUUUUUCUUGCACAUUGCACCUUGUCAGAGUCUUCAAAGAGAAAAGGAUAACUAGAUGAAGUUAUUUCCAAGAAGGUUUCUCUUGAUCUGAUCUGAGCCCUGUCAAUUGAAGACAAUUGUUUAUUGGGCAGAGAAUCUUGAUUUUAGGUAAUUUAGGAUUGUGUUUCUGAUCCUAUUGAUUCUUGAUUCUUGUUUGCUGGUGUAAUAAAAUUUUUGUAAAGGAAAUUAGGAAAAUGAGGAAAGUGAUAUUGUAAUUACCAAUAUUGAGAUUGCCAUGUAAAUUUAGGUUUUAGUAGGAAAAAGCUCUUUUGCAACCUGUAAGUACUUUUUUCUAAUCUAGUGUCCACCUUAUAUGGCCAA